UACGUAGGGGGCAAGCGUUGUCCGGAUUUAUUGGGCGUAAAGAGCGUGUAGGCGGCUUGGUAGGUCGUUGUGAAAACUCGGAGGCUCAACCUCAGAGCGGCGAAACCAUCAGACUAGAGUCCGGAAGAGGAGAGUGGAAUUCCUGGUGUAGCGGUGAAAUGCGCAGAUAUCAGGAAGAACACCCGUGGCGUAAAGCGGCUCUCUAGGAACGGUACUGACGCUGAGGACGAGAACGUGGGGAGCAAACAGG
rnacentral:rRNA from 1 species